GGGGGGCAAUUAGUGGGGGGGCAUUAAUGGGGGGGCAUGAACAGGGGGGGGGGGCACCAUAAUUUGCAGAGGAGGGGGCAAUAAGUGGGGGGCACCAAAUGGUCGAGAAAUGGGGUUUUUUAAUGGGAUUUUAUCUGGUUGUUUUUUGUAUAGGAACGUGAGAAGUUCGGGGGAACCUGAAAUGGUUCCACCACAUGGAACAGGUGAAGGCUCCCCGUUCCCCCCCCCCGGUGCUUCGGGAGCUGCCGCUGCUCAGACGGAACAUGGAGGAGCUGCACCAGCUGCUGGGGGGGGCACAGCAACAGGCACUGAGGCUGGGCCGCUGGAGGCGGAGCCAGAGCUGGAGGCGGCCGUCGCCAUGGGAACAGAACCGGAAGUGCUGGAAGCAGCGUCUGCUGGCGGCAUCCAACCAGCAAUGGCUGCAGGCGGCUCAGGAGCUCCUUGGCCGCCAUUCCCCGCGCUCUGUGCUGUGGGCUCUGAGUCACAUGACCAAGGAAUCCAUCCGGGAGCUGCAGGCCCCGCCCAGGAUUGUUGGAACACAGUGGGGGGGCUUUGGGCCCUGGCCCCCCCCAUAGCGGCUCGGCUGCCCCACAUGAGACAACGACUGCGGGACAUACAGGAACAGAUGGGGGAGGAGACAAGGUCUGACCCAUAAGUGACACCCCAGCCCCAUAAGUGACCCCAUAGACCCAUAACUGCCCCCCCAGCCCCAUAACUAGCCCCCAGCCCCAUAAGUGCCCCCCCCCAGCCCCAUAAGUGACCCCAAAGACCCACAAGUGACACCCCAUACCCAUAAAGUGCCUUUCCAGCCCCAUAAGUGACCCCACCAGCCCCAUAUGUGUCCUUCCAGCCCCAUAAGUGACCCCUUCAGCCCCAUAAGUUACCCCCCAGCCCCAUAGGUGCCCUUCCAGCCCCAUAAGUGCCCCCCCCCAGCCCCAUAAGUGCCCUUCCAGCCCCAUAAGUGACCCACCAGCCCCAUAAGUGACACCUUCAGACCCAUAAGUGACACCUUCAGCCCCAUAAGUGCCCUUCAAGCCCCAUAAGUGCCUUUCCAGCCCCAUAAGUGACACCUUCAGCCCCAUAAGUGACACCUUCAGCUCCAUAAGUGACCUACAAGCCCCAUAAGUGCCUUCCCCAGCCCCAUAAGUGACCUCCCCAGCCCCAUAAGUGCCCUUCCAGCCCCAGAAGUGCCCUUCCAGCCCCAUAAGUGACCCCCCCAGCCCCAUAAGUGCCUUUCCAGCCCCAUAAGUGACCCCUUCAGCCCCAUAAGUGCCCCCCCAGGCCCCAUAAGUGACCUUCUAGCCCCAUAAGUGCCCCCUUCAGCCCCAUAAGUGACCCCCCCUGCCCCAUAAGUGCCCUUCCAGCCCCAUAAGUGCCC
rnacentral:lncRNA from 1 species